UACGUAGGGUGCAAGCGUUAAUCGGUAUUACUGGGCGUAAAGGGCGCGUAGGCGGCACGGCAAGUCAGGAGUGAAAGCCCUGGGCUCAACCCGGGAACUGCUUUUGAAACUGCCGAGCUAGAGUGCGGAAGGGGCAACUGGAAUUCCCAGUGUAGCGGUGAAAUGCGUAGAUAUUGGGAAGAACACCUGAGGCGAAGGCGGGUUGCUGGGCCGACACUGACGCUGAGGCGCGAAAGCCAGGGGAGCGAACGGG
rnacentral:rRNA from 1 species